ACCGGCGCACGGGAGCGUAACGCGUAUGCAAUCUACCUUUUACAGAGGGAUAGCCCAGAGAAAUUUGGAUUAAUACCUCAUAGUAUAUAGCCCUGGCAUCAGGAUUAUAUUAAAGUCACAACGGUAAAAGAUGAGCAUGCGUCNNNNNNNCUAGUUGGNNNNGUAACGGCUUACCAAGGCUACGAUGGGUNNGGGUCCUGAGAGGGAGAUCCCCCACACUGGUACUGAGACACGGACCAGACUCCUACGGGAGGCAGCAGUGAGGAAUAUUGGACAAUGGGCGCAAGCCUGAUCCAGCCAUGCCGCGUGCAGGAUGACGGUCCUAUGGAUUGUAAACUGCUUUUAUACGAGAAGAAACACUCCUUCGUGAAGGAGCUUGACGGUAUCGUAAGAAUAAGGAUCGGCUAACUCCGUGCCAGCAGCCGCGGUAAUACGGAGGAUCCAAGCGUUAUCCGGAAUCAUUGGGUUUAAAGGGUCCGUAGGCGGUUUAAUAAGUCAGUGGUGAAAGCCCAUCGCUCAACGGUGGAACGGCCAUUGAUACUGUUAGACUUGAAUUAUUAGGAAGUAACUAGAAUAUGUAGUGUAGCGGUGAAAUGCUUAGAGAUUACAUGGAAUACCNAUUGCGAAGGCAGGUUACUACUAAUUGAUUG
rnacentral:rRNA from 1 species